UACGUAGGGUGCAAGCGUUGUCCGGAAUUAUUGGGCGUAAAGAGCUCGUAGGCGGUUUGUCACGUCGGCCGUGAAAACUCGGGGCUCAACCCCGAGCCUGCGGUCGAUACGGGCAGACUAGAGUGCUGUAGGGGAGACUGGAAUUCCUGGUGUAGCGGUGAAAUGCGCAGAUAUCAGGAGGAACACCAGUGGCGAAGGCGGCUCACUGGCCCGAUACUGACGCUGAGGCACGAAAGCGUGGGGAGCAAACAGG
rnacentral:rRNA from 1 species